rnacentral:tRNA from 1 species
GCCCUGCUAGCUCAAUCGGUAGAGCGUGAGACUUUUACUAGCCUCGGCAGCAAGUUUAAUUAAUCAUCUCAAGGCUGCGGGUUCGAGCCCCGCGUGGGGCU